GACGAACGCUGGCGGCGUGCUUAACACAUGCAAGUCGAACGGAAAGGCCCUGCUUUUGUGGGGUGCUCGAGUGGCGAACGGGUGAGUAACACGUGAGUAACCUGCCCUUGACUUUGGGAUAACGUCAGGAAACUGGGGCUAAUACCGGAUAGGAGCUCCUGCUGCAUGGUGGGGGUUGGAAAGUUUCGGCGGUUGGGGAUGGACUCGCGGCUUAUCAGCUUGUUGGUGGGGUAGUGGCUUACCAAGGCUUUGACGGGUAGCCGGCCCGAGAGGGGGACCGGCAAAAUGGGGACUGAGAUACGGCCAAGCCUCCUACGGGAGGAAGAAGUGGGGAAUAUUGAAAAAUGGGCGGAAGCCUGAUGCAGAACGGCCGCGUGCGGGAUGACGGCCUUCGGGUUGUAAACCGCUUUCGCCUGUGACGAAGCGUGAGUGACGAUAAUGGGUAAAGAAGCACCGGCUAACUACGUG
rnacentral:rRNA from 1 species